rnacentral:tRNA from 1 species
AGUAGUAAGGCAAAGAAAAAAGGCGCGUUGGCAGAGUGGCCAUGCUACGGAUUGCAAAUCCGUCUACCUCG